UUUAGACAAGUGCUGGGAUUAAUUCCUAGAGGAAAGUCCAUACUCACACAGUCUGAGAUGAUUGUAGUGUUCGUGCUUCGAGGAAAAAAUAACUUGAAGGUAGUGUUAUUACACUAACGGCGAAGAUUUUACCUAAGGAAUUCUAUGGUAAAACUUUAUAAAGUGCCACAGAGACGAGUGCUUGGGAAACUAAGUAGUGAAACGCGGUAAACCCCACGAGUGAGAAACCCAAAUUAUGGUAGGGGAGCUUUAAGAAGGGAAAUGAAUUUUCUUAAAGGCUAGAAAUAGCAGAUAAAUACUUGUCACCUAGAAAUAGGUACAGAAUAUGGCUUAUU
rnacentral:RNase_P_RNA from 1 species